UAGAAUAAAGCUCGCUGGAUAGAGUGUUUAGCUGUUAACUAAAAUUUUACGGGAUCAAGGCCCGUUGUUCUAG
rnacentral:tRNA from 4 species